rnacentral:lncRNA from 1 species
GACAAUUCGUCAGAUCAAAUUCGUCUUAAGGGCAAUCGGGCACAAUGUCGUGCGUGAAAUCGAGGAGCGAUCGAUAGCUACCUGUACACGUCAUGCAGAUGUUGGGACAACGACGGGUGGCUAGAUAGCUGCGGUGUGCGGUCACUAAUUCUGACUUUGAAUAAAGUUACGGGUAUUUCUAAAAAAAAAAGCUAUUUCCCCAAUUUCCUCUCAAAAAAGAAAUCUAUUUCCCCAAUUUCUAUACUCUGUCGUGAGUUUCAUUUUUUACCUCAUAUUUUAACUUCUGUGAGACAAACUAUGUCAUUUUUAAUUAUUAUUUUACCUCAUCACCUGUCCCAUGUUUUUUUAGGCAAUGAAGGGGGGGGAUAUCCCCACCUGAAUAUAUUACUUCAAGGGAUAUGAGUUACAAGAGAG